ACGAACGCUGGCGGCGUGCCUAAUACAUGCAAGUCGAGCGGAAUGAUGAAGAAGCUUGCUUCUUCUGAUUUUAGCGGCGGACGGGUGAGUAACACGUGGGCAACCUGCCUUGUAGAUUGGGAUAACUACCGGGAAACCGGGCUAAUACCGAAUAAUCCAUUUUGCUUCAUGGCGAGAUGUUGAAAGACGGUUUCGGCUGUCACUAUAAGAUGGGCCCGCGGCGCAUUAGCUAGUUGGUAGGGUAAUGGCCUACCAAGGCGACGAUGCGUAGCCGACCUGAGAGGGUGAUCGGCCACACUGGGACUGAGACACGGCCCAGACUCCUACGGGAGGCAGCAGUAGGGAAUCUUCCACAAUGGACGAAAGUCUGAUGGAGCAACGCCGCGUGAGUGAAGAAGGUUUUCGGAUCGUAAAACUCUGUUGUAAGGGAAGAACACGUACGAGAGUAACUGCUCGUACCUUGACGGUACCUUAUUAGAAAGCCACGGCUAACUACGUG
rnacentral:rRNA from 1 species